rnacentral:rRNA from 1 species
GCACUUUCAGUCGUGAGGAAGGUAGUGUAGUUAAUAGCUGCAUUAUUUGACGUUAGCGACAGAAGAAGCACCGGCUAACUCCGUGCCAGCAGCCGCGGUAAUACGGAGGGUGCGAGCGUUAAUCGGAAUUACUGGGCGUAAAAGCGCAUGCAGGUGGUUUUGUUAAGUCAGAUGUGAAAGCCCGGGGCUCAACCUCGGAAUAGCAUUUGAAACUGGCAGACUAGAGUACUGUAGAGGGGGUAGAAUUUCAGGUGUAGCGGUGAAAUGCGUAGAGAUCUGAAGGAAUACCGGUGGCGAAGGCGGCCCCCUGGACAGAUACUGACACUCAGAUGCGAAAAGCGUGGGGAGCAAACAGGAUUAGAUACCCUGGUAG